UACGUAGGGUGCGAGCGUUAAUCGGAAUUACUGGGGGUAAAGCGUGCGCAGGCGGUGAUGUAAGACCGAUGUGAAAUCCCCGGGCUUAACCUGGGAACUGCAUUGGUGACUGCAUUGCUCGAGUAUGGCAGAGGGGGGUGGAAUUCCACGUGUAGCAGUGAAAUGCGUAGAGAUGUGGAGGAGCACCGAUGGCGAAGGCAGCCCCCUGGGCCAAUACUGACGCUCAUGCACGAAAGCGUGGGGAGCAAACAGG
rnacentral:rRNA from 1 species